rnacentral:rRNA from 1 species
AUUGAACGCUGGCGGCAGGCCUAACACAUGCAAGUCGAACGAGUGGCGGACGGGUGAGUAAUGUCUGGGAAACUGCCUGAUGGAGGGGGAUAACUACUGGAAACGGUAGCUAAUUCCGCAUACCAUCAGAUGUGCCCAGAUGGGAUUUGCAAGUUGGUGGGUUAACGGCUCACCCAGGCGACGAUCCCUAGCUGGUCUGAGAGGCUGACCAGCCACACGGGAACUGAGACACGGUCCAGACUCCUACGGGAGGCAGCAGGGGGGAAUAUUGCACAAUGGGCGCAAGCCUGAUGCAGCCAUGCCGCGUGUAUGAGGAGGGCUGUCGGGUUGUAAAGUCCUUUCAGCGGGGAGGCGUUACCCGCAGAAGAAGCACCGGCUAACUCCGUGCCAGCAGCCGCGGUAAUUC